rnacentral:rRNA from 1 species
GAGUUUGAUCCUGGCUCAGGAUGAACGCUAGCUACAGGCUUAACACAUGCAAGUCGAGGGGCAGCAUUAAAGUUUGCUUGCAAACUUUAGAUGGCGACCGGCGCACGGGUGAGUAACACGUAUCCAACCUGCCGAUAACUCGGGGAUAGCCUUUCGAAAGAAAGAUUAAUACCCGAUGGUAUAUUUUCACCGCAUGGUGAGACUAUUAAAGAAUUUCGGUUAUCGAUGGGGAUGCGUUCCAUUAGGCAGUUGGUGAGGUAACGGCUCACCAAACCUUCGAUGGAUAGGGGUUCUGAGAGGAAGGUCCCCCACAUUGGAACUGAGACACGGUCCAAACUCCUACGGGAGGCAGCAGUGAGGAAUAUUGGUCAAUGGGCGCGAGCCUGAACCAGCCAAGUAGCGUGAAGGAUGACGGCCCUAUGGGUUGUAAACUUCUUUUAUAUGGGAAUAAAGUUUGGUAUGUAUACCAUUUUGUAUGUACCAUAUGAAUAAGGAUCGG